rnacentral:rRNA from 1 species
CGUGUAGGCGGCUCAUCAAGUCUGGUGUGAAAACGCAAGGCUUAACCUUGUGUGUGCGCUGGAAACUGGUGGGCUGGAGUUCCUGAGGGGAAGCUGGAAUUCCAGGUGUAGGGGUGAAAUCUGUAGAUAUCUGGAAGAACACCGGUGGCGAAGGCGAGCUUCUAUCAGAGGACUGACGCUGAGGCGCGAAAGCGUGGGGAGCAAACAGGAUUAGAUACCCUGGUAGUCCACGCUGUAAACGAUGUGCACUAGGCGUGGGACACGUCCGUGUUCUGUGCCGUAGUUAACGUGUUAAGUGCACCGCCUGGGAGUAUGCUCGCAAGGGUGAA